rnacentral:sRNA from 1 species
UUCGAAAUCCAUCUAAUCUAAUUCUCUGAAACUAUCACUAAACCCUAACCUCCUUCCCCGCCUUCAUCAAAUUCUCCCCCAAACCCUUCACCGCACCACAAUCUUCUCCUGCUUGGCUUCGUGUUCGUCUUCUCCUGCUCUCCUUCGUGUUCGUCUUCUCCUGCUCUCCUUCGUGUUCGUCUUCUCUUGCUUGAUAUGUGAACAUUUGAUGAUUUAUCUGAUGAUGGAGGCGUCUAUGACUCUGUAGGAAAGGGGAGCCAAAAUACCUGCACAGUGUUGGAGCUGUUUGCACUCGCUGCUCCUCCUCCUCCAUAUCUGUCCGUGGUGUUGCUUGGAAUGUUUGAUUGUGAAUCAAGUGCCUCUU